AUAAAAGCCAUAUACAACAGACUUAUGGCUAGUAUCACACUGAAUGGGGAAAACUGAAAGCCUUUCCUCUAAAAUAUGGAACAAGACAACGAAGUCCACUUUCUUUUUUUAUUUUUUCUUUCUUUUUCAAUAAGACUGCUCAAGGAUCAAAUAUGCCCACUUUCAUCACUGUUAUUCAACAUAGUACUGGAAGUCCUAGCUAGAGCAAUCAGAUAAGAGAAAGAAAUGAAGGGCAUCCAAAUUGGAAAGGAAGAAGUCAAAUUAUCUUUAUUUGCAGAUGAUAUGAUCUUAUAUUUGGAAAAACCUAGACUCCACCAAAUUAAAACUGAUAAAUUUAUUAAAAUUGGAGGAUACAGAAGCAACAUACAAAAAUCAGUAGGAUUUCUAUAUGCCAACAGCGAACAAUCUGAAAAAGAAAUUAAGAAAGUAAUCCUAUUUACAAUAGUUAAAAAUAAAAUAUAAUACGUAAGAAUUAACUAAAGAAAAAAUUGACACCCUAACAUCACAAUUAAAAGAACUAGAGACGCAAGAGCAAACACAUUCAAAAGCUAGCAGAAGGCAAGAAAUAACUAAGAUCAGAGCAGAACUGAAAGGGAUAGAGACACAAAAAACCCUUCAAAAAAUCAAUGAAUCCAGGAGCUGGUUUUUUUGAAAAGAUCAAUAAAAUUGAUAGACAGCUAGCAAGACUAAUAAAGAAGAAAAGAGAGAAGAAUCAAAUAGACGCAAUAAAAAAUGAUAAAGGGGAUAUCACCACCGAUCCCACAGAAAUACAAACUACCAUCAGAGACUACUAUAAUCACCUCUACGGAAAUAAACUAGAAAAUCUAGAAGAAAUGGAUAAAUUCCUCGACACAUACACCCUCCCAAGACUAAACCAGGAAGAAGCUGGAUCUCUGAAUAGACCAAUAACAGGCUCUGAAAUUGAGGCAAUAAUUAAUAGCUUACCAACCAAAAAAAGUCCAGGACCAGACGGAUUCACAGCCGAAUUCUACCAGAGGUACAAGGAGGAGCUGGUACCAUUCCUUCUGAAACGAUUCCAAUCAAUAGAAAAAGAGGGAAUCCUCCCUAACUCAUUUUAUGAGGCCAGCAUCAUCCUGAUACCAAAGCCUGGCAGAGACACAACAAAAAAAAAAGAGAAUUUAAUACCAAUAUCCCUGAUGAACAUCAAUGCAAAAAUCCUCAAUAAAAUACUGGCAAAACAAAUCCAGCAGCACAUCAAAAAGCUUAUCCACCAUGAUCAAGUGGGCUUCAUCCCUGGGAUGCAAGGCUGGUUCAAUAUACGCAAAUUAAUAAACAUAAUCCAGCAUAUAAACAGAACCAACGACAAAAACCACAUGAUUAUCUCAAUAGAUGCAGAAAAGGCCUUUGACAAAAUUCAACAAGGCUUUAUGCCAAAAACUCUCAAUAAAUUAUGUAUUGAUGGGAAGUAUCUCAAAAUAAUAAGGUAUCUAUGACAAACCCACAGCCAAUAUCAUACUGAAUGCGCAAAAACUGGAAGCAUUCCCUUUGAAAACUGGCACAAGACAGGGAUGCCCUGUCUUGAGAGAGGGAUGCCUUCUCUCACCACUCCUAUUCAACAUAGUGUUGGAAGUUCUGGCCAGGGCAAUCAGGCAGGAGAAGGAAAUCAAGGGUAUUCAAUUAGGAAAAGAGGAAGUCAAAUUGUCCCUGUUUGCAGAUGACAUGAUUGUAUAUCUAGAAAACCCCAUUGUCUCAGCCCAAAAUCUCCUUAAGCUGAUAGGCAACUUCAGCAAAGUCUCAGGAUACAAAAUCAAUGUGCAAAAAUCACAAGCAUUCUUACACACCAAUAACAAACAGAGAGCCAAAUCAUGAGUUAACUCCCAUUCACAAUUGCUUCAAAGAGAAUAAAAUACCUAGGAAUCCAACUUACAAGGGAUGUGAAGGACCUCUUCAAGGAGAACUUCAAACCACUGCUCAAUGAAAUAAAAGAGGAUACAAACAAAUGGAAGAAGAUUCCAUGCUCAUGGGUAGGAAGAAUCAAUAUCGUGAAAAUGGCCAUACUGCCCAAGGUAAAUUAUAGAUUCAGUGCCAUCCCCAUCAAGCUACCAAUGACUUUCUUCACUGAAUUGGAAAAAACUACUUUAAAGUCCAUAUGGAACCAAAAAAGGGCCAGCAUUGCCAAGUCAAUCCUAAGCCAAAAGAACAAAGCUGGAGGCAUCACGCUACCUGACUUCAAACUAUACUACAAGGCUCCAGUAACCAAAACAGCAUGGUACUGGUACCAAAACAGAGAUGUAGACCAAUGGAACAGAACAGAGCCCUCAGAAAUACUGCCGCAUAUCUACAACCAUCUGAUCUUUGACAAACCUGACAAAAACAAGAAAUGGGGAAAGGAUUCCCUAUUUAAUAAAUGGUGCUGGGAAAACUGGCUAGCCAUAUGUAGAAAGCUGAAACUGGAUCCCUUCCUUACACCUUAUACAAAAAUCAAUUCAAAGUGGAUUAAAGACUUACAUGUUAGACCUAAAACCAUAAAAACCCUAGAAGAAAACCUAGGCAUUACCAUUCAGGACAUAGGCAUGGGCAAGGACUUCAUGUCUAAAACACCAAAAGCAAUGGCAACAAAAGCCAAAAUUGACAAAUGGGAUCUAAUUAAACUAAAGAGCUUCUGCACAGCAAAAGAAACUACCAUCAGAGUAAACAGGCAACCUACAGAAUGGGAGAAAAUUUUUGCAGUCUACUCAUCUGACAAAGGGCUAAUAUCCAGAAUCUACAAAGAAGUCAAACAAAUUUACAAGAAAAAAACAACCCCAUCAAAAAGUGGGCGAAGGAUAUGAACAUACACUUCUCAAAAGAAGACAUUUAUGCAGCCAAAAGAUGCAUGAAAAAAUGCUCGCCAUCACUGGUCAUCAGAGAAAUGCAAAUCAAAACCACAAUGAGAUACCAUCUCACACCAGUAAGAAUGGUGAUCAUUAAAAAGUCAGGAAACAACAGGUGCUGGAGAGGAUAUGGAGAAAUAGGAACACUUUUACACUGUUGGUGGGACUGUAAACUAGUUCAACCAUUGUGCAAGUCAGUGUGGCGAUUCCUCAAGGAUCUAGAACUAGAAAUACCAUUUGACCCAGCCAUCCCAUUACUGGGUACAUAGCCAAAGGAUUAGAAAUCAUGAUGCUAUAAAGACACAUGCACACGUAUGUUUAUGGCGGCACUAUUCACAACAGCAAAGAGUUGGAACCAACCCAAAUGUCCAACAAUGAUAGACUGGAUUAAGAAAAUAUGGCAUAUAUAUACCAUGGAAUACUAUGCAGCCAUAAAAAAUGAUGAGUUCAUGUUCUUUGUAGGGACAUGGAUGAAGCUGGAAACCAUCAUUCUCAGCAAACUAUCUCAAGGACAAAAAACCAAACACCACAUGUUCUCACUCGUAGGUGGGAACUGAACAAUGAGAACACAUGGACACAGGAAGGGGAACAUCACACACUGGGGCCUGUUGUGGGGUGGGGGAGGGGGGAGGGAUAGCAUUAGGAGAUAUACUUAAUGUUAAAUGAGUUAAUGGGUGCAGUGCACCAACAUGGCACAUGCAUACAUAUGUAACAAACCUGCACGUUGUGUACAUGUACCCUAAAACUUAAAGUAUAAUAAAAAAAGAUAACAAAAACUAUAAAAAAGACGUUUCAAAUAACCUAUAAUCUCAUCAAUUAAUAAUACAAUAUUAAUAUUUUAAAGAAUUUCCUUUUAUUUCAAUUGUGCCUACAUCUGUUCAUCUACUUUUGUAUAAACAUAUAAACACACGAAAAGAAUAUAUUCACUUUAUUCAGAAUAAAACUAUACUCAAAGUUAUGGGGCCCUAAAAAAAAAUUUUAAAGGAUACAAAAAAAUGGAAAGAUAUUCCAUGUUUAUGGAUUAGACGAAUCAAUAUUGUUAAAUGUCCAUACUACCCAAAGCAAUCUACAGAUGCAAUGCAAUCCCUAUCAAAAUAUCAAUGACAUUUUUCACAGAAAUAGAAAAAACAAUCCUAAAGUUUAUAUGGGAACACACACACACACACACACACACACACACACACACACACACAGACACACACAAGCCCAGAAUAGCCAAAGCUAUCCUGAGCAAAAAGAACAAAACUGGAGGAAUCACAUUGCCUUACUUCAAAUUAUACUACAGAGCUAUAGUAGCCAAAACAGCAUGGUAGAGUUACAAAAACAGACACAUAGACAAGUGGAACAGAAUAGAGAACCCAGAAAUAAAUCCACACAUCUACAGUGAACUCAUUUUUGACAAAGAUGUUAAGAACAUACAUCAGGGAAAGGACAGUCUCUUCAAUAAAUGGUGCUGGGAAAACUGGAUAUCCAUAUGCAGAAGAAUGAAACUACACUCCUAUCUCUUGCCACAUACAAAAAUCAAAUCAAAUGCAUUAAAGACUUAAGUCUAAAGAUUUAAAUCUAUGUUCUCAAACUAUGAAACUACUACAAGAAAACAUAGGGGGAAAUCUCCAGGAUAUUGGUCUGGGCAAAAAUUUCUUGAGUAAUACCCCACAAGCACAGGCAAUUGAAGCAAAAAUCAACAAAAGAGAUCACAUCAAGUUAAAAAAAAAAACAAACUUCUGUAUAGCAAAGGAUGCAAUCAACAAAGUGAAGAGACAACCCACAUAAUGGGUGAAAAUAUUUGCAAACUACCCAUUUGACAAGGGAUUAAUAACAAGAAUACAUAAGGAGCUCAGACAACUCUAUAGGAAAAUAACCUAAUAAUCUGAUUAAAACAGACAAAAUAUCUGAAUAGACAUUUCUCAAAAGAAGAUAUCCAAAUGUCAAAUAGGUAAAUGAAAAGGUGCUCAACAUCACUGAUCAGAGAAAUGCAAAUCAAAACUACAAUGAGAAAUCAUCUUACCACAGGUUAAAAAUGGCUUAUAUCCAAAAGACAGGCAAUAACAAAUGCUGGUGAGGAUGUGGAGAAAAGGGAACCCUUGUACACUGUUGGUGGGAUUGUAAAUUAAUACAACCACUAUGGAGGUUCAUCAAAACACUAAAAGUAGAGCUACCAUAUGAUUGAGCAAUCCCAUUGCUAGGUAUAUACUCGAAAGAAAGGAAAUCAGAAUAUCGAAGAUGUAUCUGUACUCUCAUGUUUCUUGCAGCACUAUUCACAAUAGCCAAGAUUUGGAAGCAAACUAAAUGUUCAUCAACAGCUGAAUCAAUAAAGAAAAUAUAGUACAAUUACAUAAUGGAGUGCUAUUCAGCCAUAAAAAAAUAAGAUUCCGUCAUUUGCAACAACAUGGAUGGAACUGGAGGUCAUUAUGUUAAGUGAAAUCAGUCAGGCACAGAAAGACAGACUAAAUGCUCUCACUUAUUUGUGGGAGCCAACAAUUAAAACAAUUGAACUCAUAGACGUAGAGAGUAGAAGGAUGCUUACCAGAGGCUGGGAAGCAUAAUGUGGUGGGGGGAGUGGGUAGGGCGUGGGGAAUGGAGAUGGUCAAUGGGUACAAAAAAAUUAGAAAGUGUUGGGAGCAGGCCCCCCAAAAUCUGGCCAUAAACUGUCCCUAAAAUUGACCAUAAACAAAAUCUCUGCAGCACUGUAACAUGUUCAUAAUGGCCCUAACGCCCAAGCUGGAAGGUUGUGGGUUUAUGGGAAUGAGGGCAAGGAACACCUGGCCCGCCCAGGACGGAAAACUGCUUAAAGGCGUUCUUAAGCCACAAACAAUAGCAUGAGUGAUCUGUGCCUUAAGGACAUGCUCCUGCUGCAGUUAACUAGUCCAACCUAUUCCUUUAAUUCAGCCCAUCCCUUUUCCCAUAAGGGAUACUUUUAGUUAAUUUAAUAUCUAUAGAGACAAUGCUAAUGACUGGUUUGCCAUUAAUAAAUACGUGGGUAAAUCUCUGUUCGGGGUUCUCAGCUCUGAAGGCUGUGAGACCCCUGAUUUCCUACUUCACACCUCUGUAGUUCUGUGUGUGUGUCUUUAAUUCCUCUAGCGCUGCUGGGUUAGGGUCUCCCCGACUGAGCUGGUCUCGGCAAGUGGUGUCCAUUCGUGGGGGCUCAAAUCCAGGUCGAAGGGUCGCCAGAGCAACAGUUGGAAUGGAAAACCAGCUGGAGGACACAGGAGUACUCUUAAAGCAAUCCCCGUGAUACAGCAUUACCUGAAAAGAAGAUAACCUGGGGUAGAGGUUAUGCUUGUGUUUCUCCAGGCCAAAAUCAACAGCUGAUCUGGAUACCAUCAAUACACCUGAAACCUUAGCAUAAGCCAGAUUACAGGAGGAUCCCGAGGACCCCCCAGUUGCAGCCAUGUCAAGACUGAUGCUGAGGAGGACCCCAAUUGUCACGAGCAACACCCGUCAAACACAGCCACCCACCUGGGGACAGAUCAAGAAGCUGUCACAGAUGGCGGAAGAAAACCUGAGGAAAGCGGGACAACCAGUCACAAUGAAUAAUUUAAUGGUAGCUAUGAUAGCGGUUAUCACCACUGCCAUGAGUAUUCCUUCAACAGGGGCUGACACAGAGAACAGUUAUACUUAUUGGGCAUAUUUAUCAAUCUUGGCCGGCAAUAAUGCCUGGAUGCAAUCACUCUGACACAGUUACACAUGCUUUCUGAUCUCAGUAUUUACCAUAAUAAAUCUGCUCAUAUAAUUGAGGCAUACCAUCCUCAAAAACCUUUUUGUAAACAGGAUUGGACCCAGUUAGAAAAAGAUGAACGUACUUGUUUAGGAAGAUUGCUUUGCAGAACAGACAGAGGUGCUGCACAAUGAUUCCUAUGGAAUCAUUAUUAAUUGGUACCCUAAGGGGAUGUUUAGCUUGAAUUGCACCUCUCAGUCUGCGUGCCAUGGCCACACUAUGUUCAGAUGAUCUGAACAAAACGGUCAGAUGGUAGAAAUGAUAAGAAGUAUGGCAAAAGUUCCUAUUAUCUGGAACCGUGGCGGUAUAGUGGCACCUCAACCUCAAAUGAUAUGGCCUGCUCUAGAAGCUUAACAUAAGGAUUUGUGGAAACUAUUAGAUGUUCUUAAUAAGAUCAAAAUUUGGGAAAGAAUAAAAAGGCAUCUAGAAGGACACUCUACAAACUUGUUUUUGGAUAUGGCAAAAUUAAAAGAACAAAUAUUUAAAGCAUCCCAGGCACACCUGACCUUAAUGCCAGGAACUGGAGUCCUUAAAGGAGCUGCAGACAAAUUAGCAGCUAGUAACCCAUUAGAAUGGAUAAAAACACUUGGAAGCUCUGUAUUUCAAUGAUGAUUGUGCUUUUAAUCCAUGUUGUUUGUCUUUGUAUAGUGUGCAGAUGUGGAUCCUGACUCCUGUGAGAAGUAGCUCACUGUGACAAAGCUGCCUUUGCUUUUAUCUCUUUGCAAAUCAAAGAAGGGAGACAUGUUGGGAGCAGGCCCCCCCAAAAUCUGGCCAUAAACUGUCCCCAAAACUGGCCAUAAACAAAAUCUCUGCAGCACUGUAACAUGUUCAUAAUGGCCCUUAACACCCAAGCUGGAAGGUUGUGGGUUUAUUGGAAUGAGGGCAAGGAACACCUGGCCCGCCCAGGAUGGAAAACCACUUAAAGGCAUUCUUAAGCCACACACAAUAGCAUGAGCAAUCUGUGCCUUAGGGACAUGCUCCUGCUGCAGUUAACUAACCCAACCUAUUCCUUUAAUCCGGCCCAUCCCUUCGUUUCCCAUAAGGGAUACUUUUAGUUAAUUUAACAUCUAUAGAAACAAUGCUAAUGACUGGUUUGCUGUUAAUAAAUACGUGGGUAAAUCUCUGUUCGGGGGCUCUCAGCUCUGAAGGCUGUGAGACCCCUGAUUUCCCACUCCACACCUCUA